rnacentral:lncRNA from 1 species
CGCCGAAGAGAGAGUCGAGAAAGGGAAACAGAGAGCAAGAGAAAAUGAAGACCAUACUCUCAUCAGAGACCAUGGAUAUCCCCGAUGGGGUCAAUAUCAAAGUGAAGGCUAAAAUGAUCGAGGUUGAAGGUCCCAGGGGUAAGCUCACUCGUAACUUCAAGCACCUCAACCUCGAUUUCCACCUCACCAAGGACGAGGAGACCGGCAAGCGUAAGCUCAGGAUCGAGGCCUGGUUCGGUACCAGGAAGACCAGCGC